rnacentral:lncRNA from 1 species
CUGCAAUUGUUUAUUUUUAAAGAGACAGAUUUUUUUUUAAGAUUUUAUUUAUUUAUUUGACAGACAUAAAUCACAAGUAAGCAGAGAGACAGGCAGAGAAAGAGGAGGAAGCAGGUUCCCUGCUGAGCAGAGAGCCCUAUAUGGGGCUCUACCCCAGGACCCUGGGAUCAUGACCUGAGCUGAAGGCAGAGGCUUUAACCCACUGAGCCACCCAGUGCCCAUAAAGAGACAGAUUCUUGAUCUCAAGUUUAUUUUGAGGAGAAACUGCCAUUUUGCAAUUCAGAGCAGUUUUCCCCCCAUAAUUUCUUUCCAGAGCUCUUGGAUUCUGAGAAAGAACAGGAAAGCAUGGAUUCAGACUUCCUGUCUUCAAUCCUUGAACAGUUUUUACCAUUUCCUCUAACUCUAUAGGCUUCAAGGAUAUCUUUUUAGGGUAAUGCUUUUUGGGGCUUCUCUGUUCCUUAACUGAAGAAUGGCAACCACUUUCUCUCUUUCAAUAUGAACAAUAAUUUUCCCAAUGAAGAAGCCAUCAUCACCGUCAAAUCACUAACCUCAGACAGGGAAGAUGGUAAAACUUUUCUUCUUCUUAUCUUUCUUCCCCAUCACUCCUGCUGCUAACAGGGCUUUCAGACUUUUUCUUUCUCUCUCUCUCUUUUUUUUUUUUUUUUUGUUCACUUAAUGUUUUUAUGUUGGGGUCAGCUGGUGUCUUCUAGAGUUCAGGGGGAACUACAAAGUCUUUUUCAGAAGGCAGUGAUGGAAAAUUUGAAAUGGGCACUCAUUUGGGCCCAAGUUCCAUCUUGGUUGUUUUUUUUUUUUUUUUU